CAAUGUGAACCCGUCUGAUAAGACAACUGGGGCUUAUCUGCGUAGGCAGGGCAAGUAUAAUGUGCUAUGUGUAUAAGACAUGCCAUGGUGUGUGGCGAUUGUACCUAGUGAUUGGUGAGAGAGCACGUAGAUAGCCUGUCCUUCAUGAACCGGUCAUGCUCACUACAGGUUAUGUGGCUAUUAUGCAGGCGUAGUGAAGUAAUAGAGAAUAGCAUAAAAUGAACCUGCCACUGUUGCUGGGUAAGACAUGUACAGUACGCCAUACUAUCCCGACCUAUCACACUAUGCGAAAUUUAGUAUUAGUGCAUAACUAGUAUUCAGGCUAGGUCACAGAUAAACAUCCUAAUUUGCCC